rnacentral:rRNA from 1 species
UACGGAGGGUGCAAGCGUUAUCCGGAUUCACUGGGUUUAAAGGGAGCGUAGGUGGCUUUGUAAGUCAGUGGUGAAAUCUUAGAGCUUAACUCUAAAACUGCCAUUGAUACUGCUUAGCUUGAAUCAAGUCGAGGUGGAUGGAAUAUUACAUGUAGCGGUGAAAUGCUUAGAUAUGUAAUAGAACACCAAUUGCGAAGGCAGCUGGCUAGACCUGGAUUGACGCUGAGGCACGAAAGCGUGGGGAGCGAACAGG